UUUUAGCAGGGAAGAAGCGAAAAGUGACGGUACCUGCAGAAAAAGCGCCGGCUAACUACGUGCCAGCAGCCGCGGUAAUACGUAGGGCGCAAGCGUUAUCCGGAAUUAUUGGGCGUAAAGAGCUCGUAGGCGGUCUGUCGCGUCUGCUGUGAAAACCCGAGGCUCAACCUCGGGCCUGCAGUGGGUACGGGCAGACUAGAGUGCGGUAGGGGAGAUUGGAACUCCUGGUGUAGCGGUGGAAUGCGCAGAUAUCAGGAAGAACACCGAUGGCGAAGGCAGAUCUCUGGGCCGUAACUGACGCUGAGGAGCGAAAGGGUGGGGAGCAAACAGGCUUAGAUACCCUGGUAGUCCACCCCGUAAACGUUGGGAACUAGUUGUGGGGUCCAUUCCACGGAUUCCGUGACGCAGCUAACGCAUUAAGUUCCCCGCCUGGGGAGUACGGCCGCAAGGCUAAAACUCAAAGGAAUUGACGGGGACCCGCACAAGCGGCGGAGCAUGCGGAUUAAUUCGAUGCAACGCGAAGAACCUUACCAAGGCUUGACAUAUAGAGGAAACGGCUGGAAACAGUCGCCCCGCAAGGUCUCUAUACAGGUGGUGCAUGGUUGUCGUCAGCUCGUGUCGUGAGAUGUUGGGUUAAGUCCCGCAACGAGCGCAACCCUCGUUCUAUGUUGCCAGCACGUAAUGGUGGGAACUCAUGGGAUACUGCCGGGGUCAACUCGGAGGAAGGUGGGGAUGACGUCAAAUCAUCAUGCCCCUUAUGUCUUGGGCUUCACGCAUGCUACAAUGGCCGGUACAAAGGGCUGCAAUACCGUAAGGUGGAGCGAAUCCCAAAAAGCCGGUCCCAGUUCGGAUUGAGGUCUGCAACUCGACCUCAUGAAGUCGGAGUCGCUAGUAAUCGCAGAUCAGCAACGCUGCGGUGAAUACGUUCCCGGGUCUUGUACACACCGCCCGUCAAGUCAUGAAAGUCGGUAACACCUGAAGCCGGUGGCCCAA
rnacentral:rRNA from 1 species